GCGAGCGUUAAUCGAAAUUACUGGGCGUAAAGCGUACGUAGGCGGUUAUUUAAGUCAGAUGUGAAAGCCCCGGGCUCAACCUGGGAACUGCAUUUGAUACUGGAUAACUAGAGUUUGAUAGAGGAGAGUAGAAUUUCUGGUGUAGCGGUGAAAUGCGUAGAGAUCAGAAGGAAUACCAGUGGCGAAGGCGGCUCUCUGGAUCAAAACUGACGCUGAGGUACGAAAGCGUGGGUAGCAAACAGGAUUAGAUACCCUGGUAGUCCACGCCGUAAACGAUGUCAACUAGCCGUUGGGUCCAAUUAAGGACUUAGUGGUGCAGCUAACGCAUUAAGUUGACCGCCUGGGGAGUACGGCCGCAAGGCUAAAACCCAAAUGAAUUGACGGGGGCCCGCACAAGCGGUGGAGCAUGUGGUUUAAUUCGAUGCAACGCGAAGAACCUUACCUACCCUUGACAUACUAAGAACUUUCCAGAGAUGGAUUGGUGCCUUCGGGAGCUUAGAUACAGGUGCUGCAUGGCUGUCGUCAGCUCGUGUCGUGAGAUGUUGGGUUAAGUCCCGUAACGAGCGCAACCCUUAUCCUUAUUUGCCAGCACGUAAUGGUGGGAACUCUAAGGAGACUGCCGGUGAUAAACCGGAGGAAGGUGGGGACGACGUCAAGUCAUCAUGGCCCUUAUGGGUAGGGCUACACACGUGCUACAAUGGCCGGUACAGAGGGCUGCAAACUCGCGAGAGUAAGCGAAUCUCAGAAAGCCGGUCUUAGUCCGGAUUGCAGUCUGCAACUCGACUGCAUGAAGUCGGAAUCGCUAGUAAUCGCGAAUCAGAAUGUCGCGGUGAAUACGUUCCCGGGCCUUGUACACACCGCCCGUCACACCAUGGGAGUGGGUUGCAAAAGAAGUGGGUAGACUAACCUUCGGGAGGUCGCUCACCCACUUUUGAUC
rnacentral:rRNA from 1 species